rnacentral:rRNA from 1 species
GACGAACGCUGGCGGCGUGCUUAACACAUGCAAGUCGAACGGAAAGGCCUGCUGUGCCAUGUGGAUUGCGAGUACUCGAGUGGCGUACGGGUGAGUAACACGUGAGUGAGCUGUCCGCAACGGGGGUAUAAGCUUGGGAAAGUGAGUCUAAUUCACGAUAGGACGGGAGGGUGGUGGAUUUGGUGGUAAAGGAUGUUCUAGUGGUUGGGGAGGAGCUUGGGGGGUAUCAGGUCGUUGGUGGGGUAGUGGCGUACCAAUGCGGCGACGGGGAGCCGGCCUGGGAGGGCGGACGUCCACAUUGGGCCUGAGAUACUGCCCAGACUCCUACGGGAGGCAGCAGUGGGGAAUAUUGCACGAUGAGCGGAAGCCUGAUGCAGCGACGCCGCGUGGGGGAUGACGGCCUUCGGGUUGUGAACUCCUUUCGACCGCGAGGAAGCCACCUGGUUGGAAGGGUGGUGACGGUAGUGGUAGAAGAAGCACCGGCUAACUACGUG